rnacentral:sRNA from 1 species
GCUGGGCACGGUGGCACAUGCCUGUAAUCCCAGCAGCUUGGGAGGCUGAGGAAGGAGGAUCAAAGCCAGCCUCAGCAAAAGUGAGGCACUAAGCAACUCAAUGAGACCCUGUCUCUA